ACGACUCUCGGCAACGGAUAUCUCGGCUCUCGCAUCGAUGAAGAACGUAGCGAAAUGCGAUACUUGGUGUGAAUUGCAGAAUCCCGUGAACCAUCGAGUCUUUGAACGCAAGUUGCGCCCCAAGCCUUUUGGCCAAGGGCACGCCUGCCUGGGUGUCA
rnacentral:rRNA from 1 species